GCCGCUGGAGCUCGUGGCGAGCCACCCGUCUUGUAAGCGGGCGCGUAUCGGUUCGAAUCCGAUCGGCGGCU
rnacentral:tRNA from 2 species